rnacentral:lncRNA from 1 species
AAUAUCAUUAGUCAAUUUGUACUUAUUUACAAUCUACUUUCCAAAUUAAUAGUGUAUCUUCAACUAUACGAUUCCCAUCUUUAUUUGAGAUAACUUUACCUCCUAAACGGGUUUGAGGUUGGCUCUGUCCCUGGGAUAGUUCAAUCAGUCUCCAUCGAGCCUCGGUUUCUGGGGAACACCAAUAAACCAUAUAUCUCAUUUGAGAUGCGUAAUAAUACUCCUUCAGAUUCGGAAGGGCUAAACCGCCAUGAUCUUUAUCGAUCUGAAGUGUCCUAAAUUUUAUUUUAUUCAUACAAUUUACUGUAAGUCAGUGGAAAUCAAGAUUUUACUAAAUAUCUUGUCUUUUAAGUUGCCUUUAAUUUAAGAUGUGCCUAAAGUAAAUACUCAUUCAUUUUCUGUUUUGAAGAUCCACAUAGGAGACAAUAUUUGGAUUAGAGAAGAGGUGUGGAGGAAAAUUACAUCCACCACAAAGGAUUCUUUUUCCGUAAAAGAGAUGGCUGUGGCAUUGUGGAGGACAGCCACAAAGAAGAAGUGUGUCAGGAAAGGAGAGCCCCACAAACAGACAUUCACAAAAGCCUUCCCUGACACCCUCCAAGUUGCAAGUUUUGAGAGUCUGUUUCAGUGACUGACUGAAACAAAAGGAGCCUAAAAGAGGAGAGCGAGAGAAGAGGGAGAAACAAGUGGGGUAUAACAUAUCCCCAAAAAUACAAGAUAUCAUAAAAAAGAAAGGAAAAAUGAAAAUGUAUAAUUUGUUAUUGUUCACCUUCAGUUAAUUGUUGAUAUAGUUUUUUUCCCUUUUUUUUUAGUCAUUUUAAUCAUUCCAAUAAUUUUGUAAAUAUUUGUUAGAUUAGCUAUGUUUUUUUUUAAGUGCCUUCAAGAUUAAAUAAAAAAUUGUUAAAGUGGUUGCUUGUGGUCCUGCAGAUUAUUUAAAGUAAAAUUGGAAUGAUUAAAAUUGUCACAACACUCACUGACAGGAAAAUUGGGUCAAACACUAUGUGAUCAACUCAAACAGUCAGUCAAAAUCAUCAAUUUGAACAGCUAAAACGAGCCAGCCUGACCAGCUUAAUUCAGAUAAAACCAGCCUGACCAGCUUAAUCCAGCUAAAACCAGCCAGUCUGACCAGCUAAGACCAGUCUGGCCAGCUAAAAUCAGACCUGGCCAGCUUAAACCAGCUAAGACCAGCCUGACCAGCUAAACCCGCUAAGCACCUGACUGACCAGACUAAGACCAGCCUAGACCAGCUUAACCUAGCUAAACCAGACUAAGACCAGCCUGACCAGCUAAGACCAGCUAAACCAGCCUGACCAGCUAAAAAAAGUGGUCAAAACCCCUCUUAAACCAGCAUGAGGAACCAGCUAUGACCAGGCUGGGAGACCAGCUAAAACCAACUUGACCAGCUUAAGCUGUUUUUUUUUUCAGCAGGGUUUUAAGACCUGCACUUCACAUUUCAGCCUGUAAACAAUUUUUAAGAAAAGGGAAGAGUCAAAGGUAUAAAUUAUUAAAAAAAAGUGAAAGU